UUUCCCAUAACUUAGCAGGGAGACCGCCACCUUGACAGGGUGGAGGUCGCUGGUUCGAGACCAGUCGGGAUCA
rnacentral:tRNA from 1 species